rnacentral:rRNA from 1 species
GGCGUCUCCCUUGCGCUGCUCGCCGCCGUCGUCCUCUCCGCCGUCGCUGCUGCCCCGCAGCUAGUCGGAGCAGCCAAGGCAGAGCAUUCCCUAGGAAUCAUCCAGAAAGACAUCAUUCAGACGGUCAACAAGCAUCCCAAUGCCGGGUGGACGGCUGGACACAACCCCUACUUCGCAAACUACACUAUUGAGCAAUUCAAGCAUAUCCUGGGAGUGAAGCCAACGCCUCCGGGUUUGCUCGCUGGUGUUCCGAUCAAAACCCAUCCAGAAUCAGUGGGUCUCCCCAAGGAGUUUGACGCUAGAACUCAAUGGUCCAGUUGCAGCACAAUUGGGAACAUACUUGAUCAAGGUCACUGUGGUGCCUGUUGGGCCUUUGCUGCCGUGGAAGCUCUCCAGGAUCGUUUCUGUAUUCAUCUCAACAUGAGCGUCACACUUUCGGUCAAUGACCUACUGGCUUGCUGUGGUUUUCUAUGUGGUAGCGGUUGUAAUGGAGGAUAUCCUAUCAGCGCAUGGCGCUACUUCCGUCGCAGUGGCGUCGUCACUGAGGAGUGCGAUCCAUACUUCGAUCAGACUGGUUGCCAGCAUCCUGGAUGCGAGCCAGCUUAUCCUACACCAAAAUGUCAAAGGAAAUGCAAGGUGGAGAACCAAGUGUGGAAGGAAAAUAAGCAUUUCAGUGUUAACGCGUACAGAGUACAUUCCAAUCCCCAUGAUAUCAUGGCAGAGGUCUACAAAAAUGGCCCUGUAGAAGUUGCUUUCACCGUUUAUGAGGACUUCGCACACUACAAGUCAGGAGUGUACAAGCACAUCACAGGUGGCGUGAUGGGAGGUCACGCCGUCAAGUUGAUCGGUUGGGGAACCAGUGAUGCUGGCGAGGAUUACUGGCUUCUUGCAAAUCAGUGGAACAGAGGCUGGGGUGAUGACGGAUACUUCAAGAUCAUAAGGGGCAAGAAUGAAUGUGGUAUCGAAGGAGAUGUUACUGCCGGUAUGCCCUCGACAAAGAACACGGCCAGAAACAAUGAUGUCGCCUUUGGAACAGCCGUACUUUGA